UGGGGAAUAUUGCACAAUGGGCGCAAGCCUGAUGCAGCCAUGCCGCGUGUGUGAAGAAGGCCUUCGGGUUGUAAAGCACUUUCAGCGAGGAGGAAGGGUAGUGUGUUAAUAGCACAUUGCAUUGACGUUACUCGCAGAAGAAGCACCGGCUAACUCCGUGCCAACAGCCGCGGUAAUACGGAGGGUGCAAGCGUUAAUCGGAAUUACUGGGCGUAAAGCGCACGCAGGCGGUUUGUUAAGUCAGAUGUGAAAUCCCCGCGCUUAACGUGGGAACUGCAUUUGAAACUGGCAAGCUAGAGUCUUGUAGAGGGGGGUAGAAUUCCAGGUGUAGCGGUGAAAUGCGUAGAGAUCUGGAGGAAUACCGGUGGCGAAGGCGGCCCCCUGGACAAAGACUGACGCUCAGGUGCGAAAGCGUGGGGAGCAAACA
rnacentral:rRNA from 1 species